UACAGUCAAAUCAUGCUGAAAAUGAUGGUUCUCAUUCGAUCACCAAAGUUAAGCAGCACUGAGCCUGGUUUGUACUUAGAUUGUGGACAGUUUGGGAACACCAUGUAUUGUAA